CAGUGAUCCAAACAGGGUCGUUUCCCUCCACCGUUCAGACGUCGCCGUCUACAAGAUACGGUUAACCGCAAUGGUUACGAACACUUUUCGAAGUAAAACUGACUGGGCCUAUCUGGACCGGCUGUGAGUAGGGUCACAAAGAACAAACUGCUAUUCUGUGAGUAUCACAAUUGAGCCAUGAAGAAGAAACUGCGAACUGUAAGUCUUUUUUAUUUUUCCCUUUUGUACUGGGCCAUCAUUUUGGCCUAGUGGUUGGUUGAGGUGGAUAGGUCUCCCUAUCAGGUCACCUAUCCACCUCAACAAAACAAAAAUCCUUACUAAUUAAGUCAACAUACACCUAUCGGGUGUAUGUUGAUUUAAUUAGUAAGGAUUCUUGUUGGUACAUGGGCUAAUUCAGUGUUUAGUUUGAAGAAGUAAUGAAUGCUUUGUCGUUAGAAGUAUAGGUUCAUGUACAUAUUAAAGACAUACUCCAGGGUUGUGUUCCGAUCUCUUUUCUUCCCACUUUUCUACUACUUUCCUGUACAAUGCAUCUCCAUCACACGUGUGUUGUCUUACUGAUAGGGGGUCGGUCUGAGUGACCAGAGAAGCAUGCUAGGGUGCUGUGCAGUCUGAAGUCUACAGUUCUGUAGGCGUGCCCCCUCAGAAGGGACCAAGUGUUUAAGAGGCUGUCGCAAUGUCAGUUACAUGAAUUGGAAUGUCCUUCAAGAUGGUGUCGGGGUUUCCCCUGAGGUGAAAUGCCAGGGGCAAGGUGUGCGGGCUCUUCCCCUGGGCAACUGGAACACAACCUUGGCCUUGCGUCAGAGAACCAUGGAGCACAGUUCAACCUUCCUCUCCGUACUUCUGGAAGCCCUACGGUGGCUCAACCUCCCCAGUGGAAGUUGUGCACCAUUGCAGUUCAGAAAGGGCGCUUGAUGGGAUCUUACCAGGAUGGGUUCUGAUUGGAGGGGACCCAACUGCCAUUGCCACAAAUGACUUUGCAGUGAUGCCUGAGAAAGGUUUGCUGAAUCUGAGCCAGCAAAGAGCUCAUUGGCCUGCGUCACAACGGUGCGGUAAAGCGAACGCAAAACCACCCCGCUGCUCAGAUUUUACAGCCAAUUCCACGCUCGAUCGUACCCUCACUGGCAAACAAGACCCCAAGGUACUUGAACACCUAAACUUGGGCUGUAGAUUCAUUUCCUACACGGAGUAGGCAAUCGACUGAUUUCCUGCUGCGGGUCAUGGCCUCAUGUAUAUCACAAAAAGGAUUGGUGACCAAGCGCAGCCCCGACUGAGGCCGACAGGAAAGAAGCGGACUUGUUGCCGACUCGGCAGGCACAGCUCUCGCUUUAGGAGAACAUGGGUCCGGUCUGUUGCGACCCCUGACCUGUCACGACCCCUGACCUUUACUGCCAGUGCCCCGACCCCAGCGGGUCAUGUCCUGCAGGUGGUGGGCCAACAGGACGCAGAGGUGGGGUGCCACGUUGCUUUUUCAGGUUGUGCCUGUGCCCUCUGUAUCAAACCCGGGCUCUCGCCGCCGAGCCCUCCGUCUGGGCCUGGCUCCAGACGGGGGGGCCCCAGGCUUCCUCCGGGCAGGACCUCUCCUCCCCUCACCUGUUUAUAUUAACGGUCUUUGUGAACCAUUCUCAGUCUGGCCCCUCACCUGGGGACACUCUGCCAUGGGAGGACCUACCAGGGGCACAAGGCUCCAGACCCCACGGCCCCCAGGGACACGCUAACCCCUCCACCACCUCUUCUCUAUUUUCAGAUACAGACCAGCGGUACUGCAUUGAAAACGUCUGAAUCUUUUUAUUCUGACGUUUCUGGAUGACUUGUGUGUAUGGCCUCAAUCCACCAUGGUAACGAAGCGGUUUGAUCAGGCACACGUUCUGGCUUUUAAUUCCAUCUCCCACCCACUGGGUGGGAUUGCUCGAGUGUCAAGCAGAUUGGAUAUCAGUGCGACUGAAUUAUGCGAACAAUGGAUUCUUGGUACAAUGGAUGAUGGACUAAUGGUACAGUGGAUGAUGGACUAAUGGCAUAACGACUGGACAGAAUCUGACAAGUUGGAAAAGGAACCAGGAAAUGUAAACUAUUCAAGUUUGACAGUGCUGCGUGGCUGGGCUUCUUAACCCCCACUUGAUGGAUGGCUGGCAAGCCCUGUGGAGUACAUCUUCUGUCCUCCCGUGCAGAAAUGAGUCUUUCUAGAACCGUCAUUUAUUGGACCCGGAGCCAUGUCCCUUGAAUUAGAAACAGUCUUGGAAACAUCGCAACUAUGGUCCUCUUCAAGCAGCAGUAUAUGCUCGUCAAAUGAGGUGGUAAAGAAUCCCUCGCUGUGGCUUCAAGAGUUAUGAAGAGAAACUUUGAAGUGGGUUCAAUGUUCUCUCCUGUAAGAGCGAGGUUGUAUUAUAGUGGCUGAGGAAGAAGAGCCCUCAGAUCCUAUUCUUGGUACUUCUCCUUGGGGAGUCCCUGUCACGGUCUGGACGGAUCUUCCAGUUUGUGUAGCUCCUGUUAUGACAAUCUCCUGAACACUGUUUCAUCUGAGGGGGCACCUCUAUAAAACUGUAGACUUCAGACAGCACCGUAUACAAGCAUGCAUCUGGUCACUCAGACUACACCCAGAUCAAUAAGACAUCCUUCAUGCAAUGUGGAUGCAAUAUUUUGGUAAUGGCAAGAAAGUGGCGAUAAGGCAUCGGAACAAAACGGAGCAUGUAAAUUCUGUAGCGCUGUAAAUCAGGUAGAUGAGUUUUAGAAUUAUGGGUUUGGCAGUUUUUGAAUCUCUAAUGCUGCAGUACUGCACGUCGCAAGAUCGGCAUUUGCGUAACCUCGUCACCAAAUAGCGAUUAAAAUCAGUAACAUCCAGAGUAUUAGAAUUUCUUGUGCUUUAGACAUCAUGUAAUAUUGAAAUGUAAGAUUGCCAAUUUUCCUUGAAGUAAUUACGCCAAAAAACCGCGUCGAUAAUCGCACUCUACAACUGCGUUCUUGCGUGCACAUUUUAUCGUUGCGUAUAAGAGGAUAAAGUUGAAGGCUGCGACAUUUCCAUUUGAGGCCAUUUGGUGUUUCGGCCCCAUGGCUCCUUGGAUCUACAGCAACCCAGCAGCUGAAUAUGGCUAAGUACCAUUUUGCUAUCAUAUUUCCAUUGAUGCUGCUAGUGUUCUAAAUUCCUGUGCUGUGAUUGUGCUGUAAACAAAAUCAAUUAGUGAGGAAUUACUUUACACUAUACUUAUGGCGGCUAGUAGUAGUACUUAUCUGAAAGUUCAACAGCUAAAAUAAUGGAUCCAUGUGCCACAUGUUAAAGUAAUAUCAACCAAAGAACGGUACAGAGCUGAGCUUGUAACUGUAGUUUGUUCUGCCUCCACAUCCAGGUCCAUCACCCCCCCCCCCCCGUAUCACCACUGGCUGAAGGACUCCAUAGCAGUGAGGAUCCCCUGGAUGAACCAUGAGGCAGCAGGGUGGACCAGAGGCCGGGAACCAGCAGGUUACUCACGGGUAUCAUCACCGAGCUGUUCUGAGUCGCCCAGAGACCGGGGAGCUGAUGGAGCUGAUGGUGCAGGGGAGCUGUUGGAGCAGGAGAGCUGAUGGAGCUGAUGGAGCUGAUGGCGCCGGGCUGGGGGUCCGGCCUGACGAAGGAUGUUCCUGUUGGGGUGAGGGAAGCCCAACUUUAAGAGCCGUGGCGGAGCUGUGUUGGAGGACUGGGCUGGUGAACGCUGUCCCUAGUGCGGCCUGAUUGUGAUCAGAGGACGCAGAUGGCUCUCCAGGGGUGACUUGGAGGACAACCAUGUGACGGUCUUUGGAAGGCAGUGCUGCUACGUUUACCAGACCAGGAGUCCUGGGCUGAACAGCUGAUGGGGGGGACAUUGCACCUGGAGGAAGACCAUGGUUCUACCUGCCAACGAGCAUUACUGCUGCUGAAAUGCUGUGGCACACACCUGAGCUGUAACCUUAGACGGCAAAGUCCUUCAGAGUGACAAAUAAACAGCGCCUCAUCGCAGCUGAAGUCAUCGCUUUACUGGGGAUUCAUCGCUGGACUGUGGAUCAUCCCCUACAUCCACAGAACUUUACUUUGUCAUCAUCUGUCACAUAAGGAUUCCUCCUAAUGUGUUCCAUUAAGGUUCUUUUUCCUCCCCACUGCCAAAGGUUUUCCUUCAAGGUGUUUGGGUUCAGUGUUAGGGACAGAGUUAGGGCGAGUUGGUUGAGGAAUGGGCUGGUUUCACGAUGUAAUGCUGUGCUUUUGUAUUGGGUUGGACAUUGGACUCAAAAACCCAAGAUGUUGUGCAAACGCUUUUUACAAUUUGUACUAAUGGUGUUUCUAUAAUAA